rnacentral:rRNA from 1 species
UCCGUAGGUGAACCUGCGGAAGGAUCAUUACCGAGUGAGGGCCCUCUGGGUCCAACCUCCCACCCGUGUUUAUUUUACCUUGUUGCUUCGGCGGGCCCGCCUUAACUGGCCGCCGGGGGGCUUACGCCCCCGGGCUCGCGCCCGCCGAAGACACCCUCGAACUCUGUCUGAAGAUUGUAGUCUGAGUGAAAAUAUAAAUUAUUUAAAACUUUCAACAACGGAUCUCUUGGUUCCGGCAUCGAUGAAGAACGCAGCGAAAUGCGAUACGUAAUGUGAAUUGCAAAUUCAGUGAAUCAUCGAGUCUUUGAACGCACAUUGCGCCCCCUGGUAUUCCGGGGGGCAUGCCUGUCCGAGCGUCAUUGCUGCCCUCAAGCACGGCUUGUGUGUUGGGCCCCGUCCUCCGAUCCCGGGGGACGGGCCCGAAAGGCAGCGGCGGCACCGCGUCCGGUCCUCGAGCGUAUGGGGCUUUGUCACCCGCUCUGUAGGCCCGGCCGGCGCUUGCCGAUCAACCCAAAUUUUUAUCCAGGUUGACCUCGGAUCAGGUAGGGAUACCCGCUGAACUUAAGCAUAUCAAUAAGCGGAGGAA